rnacentral:snoRNA from 1 species
UGGCAGUGAGGAGCAAGUAUCCUCCUGUCUGGUCCCAGAGCCAGUUAUGAUGCACCCACUGGGGUUACAGAGAAAGAAGAUGAAAAUGUUCUGUAAAAAGCUGUCUAGUGUAGCAAA